CGAUUAAGUAAUGAAGGGCGCACGGUGGAUGCCUUGGCACUAAGAGCCGAUGAAGGACGGAACCAACACCGAUAUGCUUCGGGGAGCUGUAAGUAAGCGUUGAACCGAAGAUUUCCGAAUGGGGGAACCCAGCACAUCAUUAUGUGUUGCCGGUCAGUGAAUAGAUAGCUGACGCGGCGGUAGACCCGGGGAACUGAAACAUCUCAGUACCCGGAGGAAGAGAAAGAAAAAUCGAUUCCCUGAGUAGCGGCGAGCGAAACGGGAAGAGCCCAAACCAGCUACGGCUGGGGUUGUAGGACACCGACACGCCAAGUAAUGUUGAGCCGAACGGCCUGGAAAGGCCGGCCGGAGGGGGUAACAGUCCCGUAGGCAAAGGACAUUAUGCGGCGCGGUGGAUCCUGAGUACGGCGGAACACGAGGAAUUCCGUCGGAAUCCGGGAGGCCCAUCUCCCAAGGCUAAAUACUCCUUAGUGACCGAUAGCGAACCAGUACCGUGAGGGAAAGGUGAAAAGCACCCCGGAAGGGGAGUGAAACAGAACCUGAAACCGUGUGCCUACAAGUAGUCAGAGCCCGUUAAUGGGUGAUGGCGUGCCUUUUGUAGAAUGAACCGGCGAGUUGUGAUCUCAUGCAAGGUUAAGCAGCGAAUGCGGAGCCGCAGCGAAAGCGAGUCUGAAGCGGGCGAAUAAGUAUGGGGUUGCAGACCCGAAACCAGGUGAUCUACCCAUGUCCAGGCUGAAGUCCAGGUAACACUGGAUGGAGGGCCGAACCGACUUACGUUGAAAAGUGACCGGAUGAGGUGUGGGUAGCGGAGAAAUUCCAAUCGAACCUGGAGAUAGCUGGUUCUCUCCGAAAUAUAUUUAGGUAUAGCCUCAUGAGAGCAUCGUGGAGGUAGAGCACUGUUUGGACGAGGGGCCCAUCCCGGGUUACCGAAUUCAGACAAACUCCGAAUGCC
rnacentral:rRNA from 1 species